GGGUGGGCCCUCGAAAUCCUGGGCGGGAGGAUUCAGUCGGAGGACUGGGACUCUGCGGCUGCACGUUAUGGUUCCGUCACCGGACCGCUACGGCUGCUCUGUCUCGUCGGCACGACGCAUUUCCUUCCCGUCCUAGAGGACGCCGCGACCGGUUGGGAGGUGGCCUUAGGGUCGGACGCUGACGGGUGGCCGGUGGCGAUCUUCGGGUCGUCGCCGGUGUCUGGUCGGUCCGGCAGUGGCGCGCAUCCCGACCGCGGAUCGGGUCCCUUCCAUGGGACCUCGACCGCCGCCUCUGUAAAACAGAACCGGACAGAAGCGGCAGUGGUUCAAGCCGAUGCGGGCGCACAGACUGACUCUGUGGCCGCGCGUUGGGCGGUCCACGAUGGUUGCUCGGAGUCCGUUGGCGGCUGGCGGUCUGCGGCGAGUAGGUCGGUCACCCACCCGACCCGUCUUGAAACACGGACCAAGGAGUCUAACAUGUAUGCGAGUCAAUGGGUCUCGAUUAAGCCCAGAGGCGCAAUGAAAGCAAAUGCCGGACGAGACGCCGGUAGAGUUGGGAUCCCGGCGCUCACGCGUCGGGCGCACCAACGACCCGUUCCGUCAGAUUCAUUCUGUGGAGCGGAGUGUGAGCAUACACGUUGGGACCCGAAAGAUGGUGAACUAUGCCCGGGCAGGACGAAGCCAGAGGAAACUC
rnacentral:rRNA from 1 species